CUGGCCUUGACAUCCUGCGAACUUUCUAGAGAUAGAUUGGUGCCUUCGGGAACGCAGUGACAGGUGCUGCAUGGCCGUCGUCAGCUCGUGUCGUGAGAUGUUGGGUUAAGUCCCGCAACGAGCGCAACCCUUGUCUUUAGUUGCCAGCACGUAAAGGUGGGAACUCUAGAGAGACUGCCGGUGACAAACCGGAGGAAGGUGGGGAUGACGUCAAAUCAUCAUGCCCCUUAUGUUCUGGGCUACACACGUGCUACAAUGGCUGGUACAACGGGAGGCGAAGGAGUAAUCUGGAGCGAACCCCAAAAAGCCAGUCCCAGUUCGGACUGUGGGCUGCAACUCGCCCACAUGAAGUUGGAGUUGCUAGUAAUCGCGAAUCAGAAUGUCGCGGUGAAUGCGUUCCCGGGUCUUGUACACACCGAAUCACUAGUGAAUU
rnacentral:rRNA from 1 species